UACCAGCACCCCGAGUGGUCGGGACGAUUAUUGGGCCUAAAGCAUCCGUAGCUUGUUCUGCAAGUCUUCCGUUAAAUCCACCUGCUUAACAGAUGGGCUGCGGAAGAUACUAUAGAGCUAGGAGGCGGGAGAGGCAAGCGGUACUCGAUGGGUAGGGGUAAAAUCCGUUGAUCCAUUGAAGACCACCAGUGGCGAAGGCGGCUUGCCAGAACGCGCUCGACGGUGAGGGAUGAAAGCUGGGGGAGCAAACCGG
rnacentral:rRNA from 1 species